GGGGUGUGCUCAGAGCAGGGUGCCUGAAGAAAUGGCUCCUCUGUUUACAACACACCCAACAGGAGCUGGGGUCACUGUGACAAGGGGCACAAAACGUGUGGCCUUCCUGUGCACAAGCACCCUACAUGU
ensembl:snoRNA small nucleolar RNA SNORA11